GAUGAACGCUAGCGGCAGGCCUAACACAUGCAAGUCGAGGGGCAGCACGGGUAGCAAUACCUGGUGGCGACCGGCGCACGGGUGAGUAACGCGUAUGCAACCUGCCCCCGUCUGGGGAAUAGCCCGUCGAAAGGCGGAUUAAGGCCCCAUGGUUCCCUUCACCGGCAUCGGAGGGGGGAGUAAAGGUUACGGACGGGGAUGGGCAUGCGUGCCAUUAGCUAGUUGGGGGGGUAACGGCCCACCAAGGCGACGAUGGCUAGGGGAGCUGAGAGGCUGAACCCCCACACUGGUACUGAGACACGGACCAGACUCCUACGGGAGGCAGCAGUGAGGAAUAUUGGUCAAUGGGCGGAAGCCUGAACCAGCCAUGCCGCGUGCAGGAAGACGGCCCUACGGGUUGUAAACUGCUUUUCCCCCGGGGCGAAUAACCCCCUCGCGAGGGGGAGUGCCGGUACCGGGGGAAUAAGGAUCGGCUAACUCCGUG
rnacentral:rRNA from 1 species